UUCAAACAGAUCCAGCUGCUGAGGAGCAAGGAAGAAAUAUUGAAAGAUGCAAAUCAAUAUCUCAAAGAUAAGAUAUAGGAUACCGUUGAGAUUAGUAACUUUGCACCAAUGACCACUAAUACUCCAUAUCCACUAACUAUACAAAAUGAAAUAUUUGAGUUUUAAUUAGGAAUAGUGUGUGAUGGGCAUGCAGCAGUUCUUUCUGAGAUGUUUUGGCUCAGCAUUUGAGCUUCAUGAAUUGUUAUAAUUAAUAUCAAAUUAUAUAUAUGUCUAGGUUACCCAUUACAUGGA